AGAAGACUACUCUCACGUGGACCUCUGUGACAUGUGGUGACAUAAGGAGAUGCUUAGGGAGAAGGCAGCUGCUGAUUGUGGAGUUUUCUUCCCCUGCUUCAGAGUGGUUUUGCAGACAUCCUUUUCACUGCACAGUGCCAUUGGUGGCACCACUGGAUGAGUUAUGCCAGGAAGACUGAGUCCAUCCUGCCUUAGCGACUCCUCAGCAGGGCCCAGGCCCUCGUUUAGAGAGCAGCACAGUGAAACUCAGGAACCACAGAAAGGAAGAAGGCACGUGAAACCCCUUUUCCACUGAACUUAUUCUUAAGCAAUCAAAUGAAAGUGCCUGUCAGCCUCUGCAGUAUGCCAACCAUCUGGCCUUUGCAUCCUUCCUGAGUCACCAGAAGGGAGUUCAGAGAGUGCCGGGACUAAGGUUUCUUCAUCACGCUAUCUCCUGUGCCCAGAAAAGAACCAGACGUGGAGGAGAAAUACAAUAAACAUUUGUUGAAGAAAUAAAUAAUGGAGAAGAGAUGUUCAAAUAUGUGUUUCAAAUAUGCAGGUGUAUACUGUGUCUUGCCUUCUCAGUUACCUAAAGGCAACCAUCUUCACAGUUGGACAGGGAUGGCUGUGCUUUUCUAUACCUUCUGAGAAGGGGGAUAGGCUGAGUGGAUUUUCUGCAUGACCUGCCCUUUCUCAUGGAAUUCCUGCCAUGAGUUCAUGUUAAAUGAAUUUCCCUGUUGUUUCUGGGCAGCUGAGUGAGGGACCAGAGCUAAGACUGUUCUACCACAAUCGAGGUUCACAUGUAAUCUUAGUUGAUUUAAAUUUGUACACUUUUCCCUGGGAAAGCUGUGUUGUUCUCACAACAGAAGAUUAUGUAAUUUUUAAUAGACAUAGCCAUAUGUGUAUUUCCUAUUCAGCAUUGCCUACGUCAAAGGAAGUGCAUGUUAGUGAAGCCAUUAUUCUGGUAUGCUCAGUGCUUUUAGCACUGGUCCACAAGCACCCUGCCUUCAGACCAAGUCCUUUCACUUCAGAGUCCUGCUAUUUUUAAAACUCUUCAAAGGGAAAGAAACCUAAUAAAAGACAUAUAUUUAAAAAGCAAAACAUAUGAUCAAGUUAACCCAAAGGCAGCAGCUGCUUUUGAAGUCAGAGCUACAUAUAUGAGAUUUCAGAGGUUGCUGUCUACCCAAUUGUCAUUCUUCCCAUCCUCCUUAAACUAACAGCCUGAAUGAAUUCUGCAGUGCAGUGUUCCCAGUUCCAAGUCUGUUGUUUCCCAGCAUCUCUUGCAGCAGCUUUUAUACGUGUCUAAAGUCCAGCCUGUAAGACUUGAGCAGAAGGUUCACUUAUAAAGUCACUGCCUAAGUCAGUAGGGGAAGCUUUUUUAGUUUUUUCCAGUCACCUUAUAUGUUGUCAAAGCAAAUGUGACGGCUGCAGGAGCCACCUCAGACCAUGAAGCCAACUUGAAGACAAAAGAUGUGCACUGAGGAUGGCAAAGCUAAAUGACAGAGGGAGCCUCGGUCCUAGGAAACUUGAUACCCACAUUGGAAUGCCCACAUUUGGUCUAGUUUUACCUGAGAAAAUAAACCUUUACAUCUUUAAA